rnacentral:snRNA from 1 species
UAAAAGUUUUCAUAUACUAAAAUUAGAACAAUACAAAGAAGAUUAGCAUGGCUCCUGCUCAAGGAUGACACACAAAUUUGUGAAGUGUUCCAUAUUUUU